AUUUAAUCUCUUUGUGUAUGUAUUAGUGUACUAGUGUAUGUAAAUUUAAUCUCUUUGUGUAUAUAUUAGUGUAUAUGUUAGUGUAUGAUAUAUUAGUGUAUAUACCCAGGAUACAUAAAUUAAAUUUUAUACAUAAAUUACAUAGAUUUCUACGAUGAGUUCUCCGCACAAGCAAGACGAAGCAAUGUAGUCCAACCCACGGAGCAAGUAGAAGGGUCAUCCCACCCUAUGGAACAAGAUCGAGAGGUCACCCUGGGGUCAUCCCACGCCAUGAAGCAAGUAGAAACGGGCGACACAUCAGGAUCGUCAUACGAACAAGAAGCUAGUGACGACAUGGAGCCUCUAGAAGUGAGGAAGACUCGUCGUGAAUUGGCACGUGACCCCGAUUACAAUGUAGAAGCCGAUGAGGUAAAUUAGAGACAUCCAUGAUUUCAUAUAAUUAAAUGAUUUCUAUUCAUAGUUUCUACAUAUAAACACGCCCAUGAUUCACAUGUCUAUACUCAGGAGGCAAUGUCUCAGUUUAGAUAAAUGAUGUCUCAGGAGGAAGUGGCACACGAAGACACACCUGAACCGACGACCGCGACGACGAGCACUGAGAGGCCAUGUGAGUCCAGGAAAAGGAAGCGACUAGGUUUGAAACGAGGCGAGAGAGGGUUGAACCAAUUUCCAGAUGACACAUAUGCCAUCACAGAUGUGAGCCCUACCGGACAGCCCCUAGCUCCAGAGGAGGCCCUACCCAAAUACAGAAACGCAAUUGGUUUCUAUGUGAGGGACUUUCUUGAUAUCACAAUUAAGAACUGGUCCGGUGUGUCGAAUAAUGACAAGAUGAAAAUAUGGGAUAAGAUUAAGACGAGGUUCUAGUUUCCUAGGAAUGUGCCAGAAGAUCUAGUGAAGACAUAUACAAUGAAGCAGUGUGCAGUUAGUUUCUGAAAUUGGAGGUCGGAGAUGAAUGUCAAGUUUGCAAAGACAGGGAUGGAUCCAACAACCAAAUACAAGAUUACUAAAGGGCAGUGGGCUAUUUUUCUAGAGCAGAGGAAUGACCCUAACUUCUUAGCUCGGAGCGAAGCCAGCUCCCAGCUCGCAAAGAGGAACAAGUAUCACCACCAUCUAGGCAAAGGUCGUUACCAUCACCAAGUUCCUAAAUGGAGGCAAGAAGAGGCUGCGAAGAAGGCAGUAGGGUUGCUAGGGAUGUCCGAGCAAGUCGGUGAAAGGUUGGCGAAUUGGAUCCGUGCUCGAAAACCAAAGGAAACCGAGACAGGUGUGUCCUUUGAAGACCCAAUGCUUGAUGAAGCAAUGAAGAGCAUCUUUGUAGUGGCAGGCAUGCAGCAGGAAGGCAAGUUUACGCCACGAAGGAAAAGGGACAUCCUAAGUGUUGGCCUCGGUAACCUUGAGCAUCCUGGCCGUGUUCGAGGCAUCUCAUCAAAAGAAGGAUGAAAGGAUGGAUUUGGCCCUCAGUGGAAAAUGAGUAUAAGAAAUGUGAUUGGUACAAGGAACAAAUGGCAAAUUAUUUUCAGGAAGAGGCUAAGAAACACUUCCAAGAGAUGAUGGCGAAGUUGCUAGAAAACCCUCCUUCUGAGUUGAUGCAGAAACUAGCGAGUGUCGUGUCAAAUCAAUAGAUGAGCACUCAUGCUCCCCAAAUGCAGCUAGUCCAAGUGGUGUCACAACCGUUGGUGGCACAGAGUGAAACAAUCAUUCCAAGCAGUGUCGCUAUCCAGUUGACGAUAUUGUUACUUCUACGCCUUGCUCCCUAAUCAUAAGAUAUGGGAUUAACAAUCAUCGUACAAGGGUAGUAGCCAUGGGCAAAGCGAUCCUAGGAGGACCUAAAUACCAUGGUGCUGACAUUCCUAAAGACUAUUGCAGAGUAGAGGUAUCAACCGUGGUCCAAGGAUAUGAGGACGAGAUUCUAGACAUCCCUGGUCCCGAGGACAUUAUGAAACUAGGACAGGUAAUAAACAAUUUCAUCCUUUGGCCUCGGAGGGACGUGCAACUAAGGGAGCCACCACCACCCUCUCAAGAGAUGCCACUCACCCAGGAGUCAUUAGCUCAUGUCGAUCCUCUUCCUAACCCAUCGCCUUCACCUCCUCAUUCUCUUCCUGACCCACCAGAAUCACCUCUCUAUGUUUUCCCUGUCCAUCAACCAUCUCCUGUCCAUCAUCUUUCUACCCCACAGUCAACACAAUCUCCACCACCAUUCAAUUCCACGCCUUCACCACAACUCAAAGAUCUAGAACCAAAAAAUGAGCCACCAAAGGUGCCAAACAAGAAAGUAUUUCCGAUACCUAAGUUGAUUUCACCACACGAGCCGAAGAAAAAAUCAGUUGGGCAAGUGAGAUUUUUGUUAGGUAUUGCUUUGAAACGCACAGUACAAGAGCAUGAGAUUUCUGAGCUAGCAAAGUCAGAGGUACCGGCGCCUAAGGCCAUAACUUCUGUCCAAUUCAAUGUGCUAACUGCAGAAGACUACAAGCAUAUCCCUAAAAAGUAUGUGUGGGGAAAGCCUCUACUCAGUCGGGCCAAACUUAUGAAGAAACCAAGUGGUAUAAAAAGGUUUCAUGACUCGUACAUAAGAGCCCUUCUGCUGGCAUCAACACCAUAAGCAUGCGCAUACCACAAAUAGCAUUUCUUAGCCAGAGUACUGACAAAUGCAUGCUUACAUUCGAUGACAUGUGGGCACUGAUGAACCACGAGAUGCUAGAUGUACAUAUCAUAACGGCAUUUGCAUUUUAAGUGUUACAUAGUUACACACAUUGUAGUUGCAUCAAUUUUCAAUAUCUGACAUGCUUCUACCUUGCAGAAUGUUAUAUGAUCAACAAGAUUUAUAUUUUGGUUUGGACUUUAAUUAUUGUGUCGAAGAAAGGAAUGGCUAUCUCUACCCAAUAGAUAUAGCCAAAAAUCGACACAUAUUCCGGAUCAGGAAUGGCAGCACAGAGGUAUAGGGUUUGGAAGGUGCAGAACGGAUGAGAAACUCUGAAAGUUGAAACUUGAUUUUGGAGCCAAAUACGCCUUCUACAUUGGACAUUCACUAAUAAAGUUUCAAGAUAGGAAAGCGGUGGUGGCCCCGUACCACUUUGGGUAAGUGUGAGUUUACAAAUAUCUAUCUAAACUAUUCCAAUGCACAAAUGCAUUAAUUAAAGCAGAAACCACUGGAUAUGCUUCAUCAUUUAUCCCAAGGAGGGAAGGUUGUUGGUACUAGACUUCGUAGAUUACUCGAAAGAAAGCUAUCCUCCAUUCAUCAAACUGCUAGAGCUGUAAGUCAAGCUAUGCAUGCAUACUUAAGCAUAGUGAGAGUUUGACAAUAACAUGGUCAUUCGAUUUGAGAUCAUAGGGCAUACAGGCUCUAUAAGAUAAAUCAUGGAACGUGCAAGUCCAACAGACCACGACAACUAUGAGAGGUUAUACAUAACUUGCCGUGCAUGAAGCAACCACCCUUUUCUGUCCUCUGUGGCUACUACAUGUGCGAUAACAUGAGAGAGAACGGACGAUAUGAAAGGAACCCUGCCAAGGUAUAUAAGCAAGGGAUGGCGGAGCGCAUGGACGAACGUGCUUUAGACAACAUAGUUGAGGACAUC